rnacentral:lncRNA from 1 species
UCAGCCUGCACUCCCCUUGAGUGUAUUCUGAAUCACUGGGACUCCGUUGACCCUCAGACUGUAGAGAAAGAGGAAAAAACCUUUUCCCUCCUCUGUCCUCUCUUCCAGCCAGGCAUGACCAUGUAACAGUUUGGGCUGCUGAGCCAGAAGGGAAAGAGUACUACUGCUAGACUUCCAGGAAGGCUGCUCUAAGAAAGAUGACUCAGAGGUUGCACUUUUUUAGUUUUGGGGGUUUUUUUCCCUCUACUUCCUGCUUCUUGGAACUAGGACAUGAUGUCUGGAACUCUAGCAGCCAUUUUGGACCAUGAGGUGAUUGUGCGACUAGAAGACACAUCGUAGAAUGGAGCACCAAGACGAAAGCCCCCAAAGCUGCCCUAUAAGACCUGGACUUCAAACCAGCAAACUUCUUCCAUGUGAGAGAGAAAUAAGCUUAGGUUUUGUUUCUGCCAGUGUUAUCUUUGUUUUCGGUUAUGAGCCACUAAAUGUGAUCCCACUUGUUACCCCAGUCAUUCUCCCAACUUCCUAGACCCAUUAAUAGCAUUCUACACUCACAGUCCAUCAGUGGUGCAAGACUACAACACGAUUUUAAAUCCAAAAGUGAUAUAAAUGAUUUUGUGAUUCUGU